UUUAAAUUUAGAGUUUGAUCCUGGCUCAGGACGAACGCUGGCGGCGUGCUUAACACAUGCAAGUCGAGCGAUGAAGCUUCCUUCGGGGAGUGGAUUAGCGGCGGACGGGUGAGUAACACGUGGGUAACCUGCCUCAAAGUGGGGGAUAGCCUUCCGAAAGGAAGAUUAAUACCGCAUAAUAUAAGAGAAUCGCAUGAUUUUCUUAUCAAAGAUUUAUUGCUUUGAGAUGGACCCGCGGCGCAUUAGCUAGUUGGUAAGGUAACGGCUUACCAAGGCAACGAUGCGUAGCCGACCUGAGAGGGUGAUCGGCCACAUUGGAACUGAGACACGGUCCAGACUCCUACGGGAGGCAGCAGUGGGGAAUAUUGCGCAAUGGGGGAAACCCUGACGCAGCAACGCCGCGUGGGUGAUGAAGGUCUUCGGAUUGUAAAGCCCUGUUUUCUAGGACGAUAAUGACGGUACUAGAGGAGGAAGCCACGGCUAACUACGUGCCAGCAGCCGCGGUAAUACGUAGGUGGCGAGCGUUGUCCGGAUUUACUGGGCGUAAAGGGUGCGUAGGCGGAUGUUUAAGUGGGAUGUGAAAUCCCCGG
rnacentral:rRNA from 1 species